AGUGAGAUAGUUGGUCAAAUGGUGGUUUCAUUCCAAGAUUUUUGAGCAAUCUCCAUACUGCUUUUCAGAGUGGUUGUACCAGUUUGCAGCCCCACCAGCAAU
rnacentral:pre_miRNA from 1 species